CCCCUGGUGGGUCGCAAACUCGCAACAAUUGACAGGUGAAAUUGUCGUAACGCCUUCUGAUAAAGCUGUCAUCUGUACGGUCUUCUUCUUCCUUCUUUUUAUAUCUCUUAAACUCAUAACUUCUCUGUCUCUUCUCUCUCUUCUUGCUUUCCUCUGUUUCUCUAGACAAUAAGCAUCAAAUGGAAUCUACGGAACUACAAGACAUAGAUUUCUUUAGCUCCUUUUACGAUCACACAAACUCAACUUUCUUCACUCCAACCACAAACUCGCUCCUAUCCGACUACGUAUCAGAAGACCCGGUUCCACCAAAGCCACCAAACGAUGAAGAAGACGAGUACGUUGCAGAGUUGACUCGCCAGAUGACUAACUAUAUGCUUCAAGACGAUGAAAAGCAUCAAAAGUCUUGUAGUGGUCGCUCUGGCUCACCGCAAUCGACUCUUUGGUCACCGUUCGCCUCCGGUAAUAGCAGCCCGAUUGGUCCUUCACGAGAACCAACGCCGCCGCUAACUCCGGUGACCGUUGAGACUAAGCCUGUUAUGAUUCCUACCCAAUCAAAACAAGCUUUAAUCGAUGACCAGAUCCGAUCUAUUCAAGCUAACUUCCAUAAGAUCAAAAAGGAGAAAGAUAAGCAAAGAAACGAUGACGUAGUAGGACACAAAGCAAGGAACUACCAAUACCAACAGAGACCAAGGUCGGGCGUGAAGGCGGUGUUCGUUGACGGAUCCGGUUCUAGAACCGGGUCGGGUGGAACUGGAGUGUUCUUACCACGUUGUCAUGGUACUGUUGUGGAGUCGCGCAAGAAAUCAGUACGCCGACCUCGUGAUGUUCGUAACGGCUCCGAGAUCUUCAUCUCUUGUUCUGCGAUCUCCGACGACCUCGACGACUCUUCUUCGAACUCGACCAUUUUCUAUGGGCUUCAACUCCCUAAGACUCAUGUCUUUGAUCGCGGUCCGUUAAGGAUGUUCAACAGUAAUUAUACCAGCAAGAGUAGUUGAAGCCUUGAAACUUCACUUUGACAAAUUGGGUGUUCCUUCCACAUUCUCAUCUGAUAUCCCUCCUUUUCAUGAUGCUUUGUUGGUGUCCAUGAAGAACAAAAACAGCAGAAGUACCAAAGGCAGUUCAUUAACUCAGGCACAAAGUGGACCACCAUACACGGCAGAAACGUCGGCCGAGAGUCACCAAGAACCACCGGCGGAUUUGCCACAUGAAUGGACGUACUGAUCAAACAUCGGCACAUGCUCGUGAUUGCUGAAAUUGUAGGUUUUCGAAAGGUAGUAUCUUUUCGGAUUGAAUAUUUUAUAUAGUGGGGUCAAAAUAUAAAUAAAUAAAAAGCGUUAUAAUCAUUAUUUUAGCUGGAAAUAUAUAAAUUUUAAAAGGGGUGAAUUUGUUCUUUUAUUAUAUUGGUAGUUCCACAUAUACUCUGGUUAAGUAAAAUCAAUAAUUCUUAUGAUAAAAGAACAAUAAAAUAUGCCUGUCUUUUGUAAUAAAGGGAUGGUUGUUUUUAUGUAGGAUUCCUUGUAACAAAAUCAUCGCCAAUGUAAUAAAAAUAAAUAAAAGACUUUAUUUGAUUA